rnacentral:rRNA from 1 species
GGUUAAGCUACUAAGAGCACACGGAGGAUGCCUAGGCGCUAGGAGCCGACGAAGGACGUGGCGAACGACGAAAUGGCCUCGGGGAGCUGUAAGCAAGCUUUGAUCCGGGGAUGUCCGAAUGGGGAAACCCGACUGGAAUAAUACCCAGUCACCGCUGCCUGAACACAUAGGGCAGAGGGAGGCAUACCAGGGGAACUGAAACAUCUAAGUACCCUGAGGAAGAGAAAACAAGAGUGAUUCCGUCAGUAGCGGCGAGCGAACGCGGAACAGCCUAAACCAAGGGGCU